rnacentral:rRNA from 1 species
AGUUUGAUCCUGGCUCAGGAUGAACGCUAGCGGCAGGCUUAAUACAUGCAAGUCGUGGGGUAGAUGAGGUUUCGGCCUUAUUGAGACCGGCAAAAGGGCGAGUAACGCGUACGUAACUUGCCUUCAACAGGAGGAUAGCCCCUUGAAAAAGGGAUUAAUACUCCAUAAAGUUAUACGGAGGCAUCUUUAGUAUAACUAAAGCUACGGCGGUUGAAGAUAGACGUGCGUCCCAUUAGGUAGUUGGCGGGGUAACGGCCCACCAAGCCGACGAUGGGUAGCUGGCGUGAGAGCGUGACCAGCCACACGGGCACUGAGACACGGGCCCGACUCCUACGGGAGGCAGCAGUAAGGAAUAUUGGUCAAUGGACGGAAGUCUGAACCAGCCAUGCCGCGUGAAGGAUGACGGCCCUCAGGGUUGUAAACUUCUUUUACAGGGGAAGAAAGGUAGAGUUUUUACUUUAUUUGACGGUACCCUGCGAAUAAGCACCGGCUAACUCCGUGCCAGCAGCCGCGGUAAUACGGAGGGUGCAAGCGUUAUCCGGAUUUACUGGGUUUAAAGGGUGCGUAGGCGGGCUUUAAAGUCUGAGGUGAAAGUUUCAAGCUUAACUUGAAAAAGUCCUUGGAUACUUAAGGUCUUGAAUAUCGUGAAGGUGAGCGGAAUAUGACAAGUAGCGGUGAAAUGCUUAGAUAUGUCAUAGAACCCCGAUUGCGAAGGCAGCUCACUGUACGGAUUAUUGACGGCUGAGGUCACGGAAAGGCGGUGGGUAGGCGGAACAGGGAUUAGGAUACCCUGGGUAGGUCCACGGCCCUAAACGGAUGGAUCACUUAGGACAUUGGGCGGAUAUACAGGUCAGGUGGUCAAAGGAGGAAAUCAUUAAGGUGGAUCCACCUGGGGAAGGUACGGUUCGGCGGAGGAAUGAAACUCAAAGGGAAUUGGACGGGGGGUCCGGCACAAGGCGGGUGGGAGGCAUGGUGGGUUUAAUUCGGAUGGAUACGCGGAGGAACCUUACCUGGGCUAGAAUGUGAGCGACAGGACCUGAAAGGGGUCCCUUCUUCGGACGCGAAACAAGGUGCUGCAUGGUUGUCGUCAGCUCGUGCCGUGAGGUGUUGGGUUAAGUCCCGCAACGAGCGCAACCCCUGUCAUUAGUUGCCAACAGGUCAAGCUGGGAACUCUAAUGAGACUGCCGUCGCAAGACGUGAGGAAGGAGGGGAUGAUGUCAAAUCAUCAUGGCCUUUAUGCCCAGGGCUACACACGUGCUACAAUGGGUGCUACAAAGAGCAGCGACAUGGCGACAUGAAGCGAAUCUCAAAAAGGCAUCCACAGUUCAGAUUGGAGUCUGCAACUCGACUCCAUGAAGCUGGAAUCGCUAGUAAUCGUAGAUCAGCAAUGCUACGGUGAAUACGUUCCCGGACCUUGUACACACCGCCCGUCAAGCCAUGGAAGCCGGGUGUACCUGAAAUCGGUAACCGCGACGGAGCCGCUUAGGGUAAAAUCGGU